UACGGGGGGGCAAGCGUUGUCCGGAAUCACCGGGCGUAAAGCGCGCGCAGGCGGUCAUCUACGUCUGGGGUGAAAGCCCGGAGCUCAACUCCGGGACUGCCUUGGAUACGGGAUGACUUGAGGAUCGGAGAGGCAAGGGGAAUUCCACGUGUAGCGGUGAAAUGCGUAGAGAUGUGGAGGAACACCUGUGGCGAAGGCGCCUUGCUGGCCGAUUUCUGACGCUGAGGCGCGAAAGCGUGGGGAGCAAACAGG
rnacentral:rRNA from 1 species